GCGUUAACGAACGAGACCUUAACCUGCUAAAUAGCCCGUAUUGCUUUGGCAGUACGCUGGCUUCUUAGAGGGACUAUCGGCUCAAGCCGAUGGAAGUUUGAGGCAAUAACAGGUCUGUGAUGCCCUUAGAUGUUCUGGGCCGCACGCGCGCUACACUGACGAAGGCAACGAGUUUAUAACCUGCCUCGAGAGAGAUGGGUAAUCUUCUGAAGCUUCGUCGUGAUGGGGAUAGAUCUUUGUAAUUAUCGAUCUUCAACGAGGAAUUCCUAGUAAGCGCGACUCAUCAGGUCGCGUUGAUUACGUCCCUGCCCUUUGUACACACCGCCCGUCGCUAGUACCGAUUGAAUGGAUCA
rnacentral:rRNA from 1 species